rnacentral:rRNA from 1 species
UACGGAGGGGGCGAGCGUUAUUCGGAAUUAUUGGGCGUAAAGGGCGCGUAGGCGGCCUUGUAAGUCAAAGGUGAAAUCCCUCAGCUCAACUGGGGAACUGCGUCUGAGACUGGUGGGCUUGAGUGCAGGAGAGGAACGCGGAAUUCCAGGUGUAGCGGUGAAAUGCGUAGAUAUCUGGAGGAACACCGGUGGCGAAGGCGGCGUUCUGGACUGUUACUGACACUGAGGAACGAAAGCCAGGGGAGCAAACGGG